AGAUGAGGGGUCAGUCCAAGUGCCUCUGACCACUGGGCACUUGAACUGAGCUGCCUGCCACCCGAUGGCGGGGGUGGGGUGGGGGGGCACCCCUGGGUCCCAGAACUGGAAAAGUCUCCAUUCCCGACUUGCUGUGUGUGACCUGGGCGACGAGAAGAUGGGAAAGUGCUCUGAAAACCUGGAAGACUUCCCGGGGAACCCACCCUGCUUGGCGCAGGGGUCACUUGAUUUGCUUAAUGAAGCUCUUCGUGGAGACAGAUCGUUUGCAGUUGCAUUUUUAGGUCCUAGGUCCUCUCCUAUUUCAUGACAGGCAACUAAAAGAAGACAGCUGGCAUUUUCAACAUUCUGCCUGGACAGCCUUCAACUGGAUCUGUACCUUCCUUACACACCUUUUCUAGGUUCUCCAUCACCCCAUGCAAUAACUGAUCUAAGCGUUGUGUCAUAAAGACUAAAAUUAAAGCCAAUAUCGGGUACCGAGUUAACUUCCGGUGAAAUCAGAAGACCCUCAAAUAGCCUAAUGACAAGUCCCCCUACCCCUAACUCUGCUCCCGUGGAUGGAUAAGGCCCCAGCUAGGGGCACCUGGUUGCUCAGUCAGUUAAGGGUCUG